GACGAACGCUGGCGGCGUGCUUAACACAUGCAAGUCGAACGGAAAGGCCCUGCUUUUGUGGGGUGCUCGAGUGGCGAACGGGUGAGUAACACGUGAGUAACCUGCCCUUGACUUUGGGAUAACGUCAGGAAACUGGGGCUAAUACCGGAUAGGAGCUCCUGCUGCAUGGUGGGGGUUGGAAAGUUUCGGCGGUUGGGGAUUGACUCGCGGCUUAUCAGCUUGUUGGUGGGGUAGUGGCUUACCAAGGCUUUGACGGGUAGCCGGCCUGAGAGGGUGACCGGCCACAUUGGGACUGAGAUACCGCCCAGACUCCUACGGGAGGCAGCAGUGGGGAAAAUUGCACAAUGGGCGGAAGCCUGAUGCAGCAACGCCGCGUGCGGGAUGACGGCCUACGGGUUGUAAACCGCUUUCGCCUGUGACGAAGCGUGAGUGACGGUAAUGGGUAAAGAAGCACCGGCUAACUACGUG
rnacentral:rRNA from 1 species